GUUUGAGCCACAGACACUGCAAUACAUGGAUGUUGGCCUUGCACUUCUUCUGUUUUAAGCCUGGAUGUUAAAAAAUUACCCCAAACUCAAAUGUUACACAAAAUAUGUUGCUGAUAAAUUUUACAAAGCCACCAUGAAAAAUACACUUAUCACAUAAUCUAAGACCCAACUAAACAGUAGAUUGUUCCAAACUACACUGUCGCCCAUAAAGUUGGAAUAAUGUUGUUUUCAGACACAUUCGUCUUUUAAAACCUAUUUUACAUGAGUAAUCACCUUUGGCCUGGUUUAAUGAUCACAUACUGGGUCCCAGUAACACUUUAUCCAUCAAGAAUGAAUCAUAUUGUCAAAAUGAUUUCAUGAGAACAGUGUAUAAUUUUACACAUUUUCUUAUUGAUAAAGAACAUAGAAAACCACAAAUGGAUGAGGGCUCUUAUUUGGCUUUGACCAUUUACACUUAUUUAAUAAUUUUACAAGAUACUUUUAAUGUUUGGCAUGUAUUC